rnacentral:snRNA from 1 species
AUACCUUUCUCCGUCUUUUGGCUAAGAAAGAUCUAGUAUAGCAUUUGUUCUUAUCAAUUUAAUAUUUGAUAUGUAAGUCAUGAGCCCACAAUAAUACUAAAUUUAUUUUUUGUGAGAGAGGGUCCACAGGCCCUUGCGUGUCACCCGGGUGUUGCACUGCUGCCUGGAUCUGGCACACCCCAA